rnacentral:rRNA from 1 species
CAAUAGCGUAUAUUAAAGUUGUUGCGGUUAAAAAGCUCGUAGUUGGAUUUCUGUCUGAGGCGGCCGGUCCACUUUCUGAGUGAGCAUCUGGUCCGCUUUGGGCAUCCUCCUGGGGAACGUUUCCGCGCUUGAUUGUGUGGUACGGAAUCUAGGACUUUUACUUUGAGGAAAUUAGAGUGUUCACUGCAGGCAUACGCCUUGAAUACGUUAGCAUGGAAUAAUAAGAUAGGACCUCGGUUCUAUUUUUUCGGUUUCUAGAGCUGAGGUAAUGAUUAACAGGGAUAGUUGGGGGCAUUUGUAUUAACGCGUCAGAGGUGGAAUUCUUGGAUUGCGUUACGACAAACUACUGCGAAAGCAUUUGCCAAGGAUGUUUUCAUUGAUCAAGAACGAAAGUAUGGGGAUCGAAGACGAUCAGAUACCAU